rnacentral:lncRNA from 1 species
UCAAGGGGUCCAAGUACGGGUGUCACACGCCAUAGCUCUGGGGGCCUCUGAUCUCUCCAACGGUGAGGAAGCUGAACUGACUUUGGUGACAUAUAUUCCCCAAGAUCUGACAGCUGAUGAGUGACAGAGCACGUAUUCAAACCCAGAUGAUGGAUCCAGCCACAAGUGACACUUUGCACAGGACAACCGUGGGCCCCAGCAGAGGACUGGCAGCCCCCAUGCAUGGAAGACAGCACAGCCAUGUGAAGACACAGAUGCAGGAGGGAAGAUGUCAUGAGGGCAGAAAUUGGAGUUAUGUAACUGCAGGCCAAAGAACACCAAAAAUUGCCAACAAACCAUCAGAAGCUAGAAGAGGCAAGUAAAGAUUACCCUACAGAUUCCAGAAUGUGUGUGGCCAUACCAACAUCUUGAUUUCAGACCUCUGGCUUCCAGAACUCUGAGACAAUUGGCUUCUGUUGUUUAAGCUGCUGAGUUUGUGGUACUUUGUUACACUGCCUUAGGAAACUAAUACACAUGCCAACUUUGUUUUCUAAUUUUUUAAAUAAUUAUUUACUCCAUACCUUCUGCAUUUUUACAGCUAAAGUAUAACAAUGAGUUAUUUGUGUUUAAAAAUAUAUACACAGGGGACCGGGCACAGUGGCUCAUGCCUGUAAUCCCAGCACUUUGGGAGGUCGAGGCAGGCAUAUCACCUGAGGUCGGGAGUUCAAGACCAGCUUGACCAACAUGAAGAAACCCUGUCUCUACUACCAAUACAAAAAUUAGCCAGGUGUGGUGGCAGGUGACUGUAAUCCCAGCUACUCGGGAGGCUGAAGCAGGAGAAUCACUUGAACCCGGGAGGCAGAGGCUGUGGUGAGGGCCAAGAUCAUGCCAUUGCACUCCAGUCUGGGUAACAAGAGCAAAACUCCGUCUCAAAUAUAUAUAUAUAUAUAUACACACACACACACACACACACA